UGUCUUUUGUGACACUGUAGCUGGAGAGCACUAAGUCAGCACUGUGUGGUCUGACUGAGGCGGAGUCUAAGGCUGGUGAUCUCACAGAAGCUGAGAGCAAAGCAGUGGUUACAGAGGCAGGAGAGUUACAAAGUUGAAGUUGAAGGAGACAUGCAUUCUGGUUGUGUCUGACACACUGAAGAAGCUAGAAGAGUGUUCUCACCACAGAGCCCUGCUGGGUGUGUGCAAUCACCAUGCUCACCAGACUUGGGUGUGUCAAAAGUGGCCAGCCAGAGCUCCAGCUGUUCCCAGGCAGACAGGCCUGCGAGUCGCACACCUGUGCCAGGCCCCAUAGGCAGAGCUCACAGGCCCUUCGAGAUGUGGAAGCGGCAUGUCUCCGGAGUUCUCAGCCCUAGGAUCUGGGGUAAGCAAAAGUGCUGCCGUGGGUGGUUUGUCUAGUGCCCAGAGUGCUUGUGGGAGGGUGAGCCUCUCCUGAGGGAUUAGGCAGGGACAGAAUCCCUGAAGCCACACAAUUAUUUUCCAGUUUGACUUCUGUGUCCUUUCAAGUUGUAGCGUGCUGCACUUGGCUUUAAGAGCCCCACGGAAGCCUAAUAGGGAACACGUUGGAGUGUGAUAACUCUGGGCUGGUAUUGUUUGAGAAGAUAAGCAGAAAGGGGCAGGGGACUCUGAAUCCACUUAUCGGUGCCUUAGCAGGAAUGGGGGCUCUCUGCAACCCCACCUAACAAGCUGCAGUGUUUUCCCAGGAUUCUGUGGGGCACCUGCCUUGAAAAGCUUUGCUCCCAGAGGCCCAGGCCCAGCGUGUGUGUGUGUGUAUGUGUGUGUGUGUGUGUGUGUGUAACUCCUACAGGGCAGAAUGUCCUGCGGUUGGUUGGCCCCUCAAACCUCUGGAACCCCGUAGAGACUGUUUUAAGGUCACAUCUCAAUCCUGGAGGAGGGUGAGAGGGGACAGAUGUAAGCCCUAGUUCCUGUUAUAUAAUUAGACGGAACUCUUCCUUCCAGGAGGAGCAAAAUGAGGCCAAGGACGGCCUAAGCCUUGAGAUUGCUUCUUGCAGUGGCCUGGGCAAGUAGGCCACGGGGAUUUGUGCUCUGGUCAGGAGGUCCUGCCUUGGCUUCCGAGGGCCAGGAGCGGUGCACCUUACAUUCCUUUUAGGGUAAAACCCUUGGUUUUCUGUUCCAAGUGGAGGUCAGGGGGAGCAAGCAGCAGCUGUGGACUCUGUCACUGAUGGCUACUGUGUCAUUCUGGUUUUGACAGUCCUCGUGGCCCCUGGUUGUUGUAAGUACGACAAACACGUGUGCCUCAUUAUUUUCAAAGUUGAGCGCCAGGCUGGCCCUUUUCUGUCAUUUAUGUGAUAGUGAAAAGCUGAUGUUUUAUUAAGUGUAGACAGGGCAGCUCAC
rnacentral:lncRNA from 1 species